rnacentral:lncRNA from 1 species
GCUAGGAGAUACGGGGCUCGCCCACACUCCGCUAUCUGGGAGAUACGGGGCUCGCCCACACUCCGUUAUCUGAGAGAUACGGUCCUUGCCCACACUCAGCUACUAAACCACAACAUACAAGUAUCACACAGACAACGAGUAUAAACAAUUCUAUUAUACUAGCAUAUAUCAUAAUCAAACUCAAUUAUAAGAUACGGGCUCUGCCCACACUCCGAUACUACAUAUCAUCUAUACGGGUCGACCUUGGUACCUUAGACCCUUUCCUAGUGGAAGGAAACUCACCUCGAAAAGUAGCUACCGAAAGUCCGCCUGCUAGACGUUUGACUGUUGUACCGGUAGUUCUCCGGCUAUAAAGUCAUAAACAUAGAUUAGUUACUCAUAAAUACCCUUAGGUCAAAUGACUGACCUACCUCUAGUCCAAGGUCAACUCAUUAGGGUCGACCUUGGUACCUUAGACCCUUUCCUAGUGGAAGGAAACUCACCUCGAAAAGUAGCUACCGAAAGUCCGCCUGCUAGACGUUUGACUGUUGUACCGGUAGUUCUCCGGCUAUAAAG